AUAUAGUUGACGGCGAGUGGCUAUUGCGCGAUGUCAUACGCGCGUCAGACGACGGUGCAGACGACGACUAAUCAACGAGCGACCGAGACCAAAACGGCACGGGGCGAGUGAAGAAGAUUUGAGCCUGUGAAAUCGGCGACCACCGGAUGGACGCGACCCGACAAAUAAUAAUUACUAUUUAUUCAAACUAAACUUUUUAUAUUCUAGUAAAUGAAUUUAUUUUAUUCAAAAACUGUAACAUUAAAAUGUAGAUCACUAUUCAUUAUUAGUUAAAACAUAUAUUAUUAUAAUUAUACAACUUAUAUCUCUAUUAGGAGGCCUCUUUACUCUAUUAUUUAAUAUUUUCAUGUUAUUAUUUAUCACUAUUAUAUCAAUAUUAAACUAACUAUUCACUAUUCAGCUCUAUAACAGGUAUUCUAAUAAAUUAUUAUAAUAAAAAAGAAAAAACGUUUUAAAUGUAAAACUAUUCUAAGCAGUAAGCGGGGACGUUCUAUUAGCCUACAUAUGUUUAUAAAAAAUUUUAAAUUCACUGCCAAUGUCAAGUCGAUCUUACAAAUUAAUCAUAAAGAAUGUUGAAGACGUUCGGUGGUAUCCGGUCAAGGAUUCGGUUCCGUUGAUCGUACUGGCUAAGAACUCGGCCAUUUGACAUUAUCCAAUUAUUCGACGGGUUUUCGACGAAUAGUAUUCGUGAACGAUGUGCAUAGUACAUGAAUCAUCCUCGAAAACUUUGAGGAGUCUUUCACAGUCAUAUUUGUGACGAAUAGAAUCUACGAAACGACCAGAAUCCCCAAACAAUAAGGUUAACAUGACAACGAGUUAACCGUGGUCCGAGAGGAUGGCUGGAUGAUACGAAAAAAAGUACAACGGGAAAACAUUAUAAGAAUUGCUUAUAAAAUUGAAUUUGGGACAUCACAAAUGGCGUUAUAAAAGUGAAAAUUUUAUGAUGAAUCUUGAGAUAAUACCUGUAUAAUAUUCAUUAUUCCAUUAUAAUAAUUGUGCAAUGUUAUACAUAGCAGUUUAGAAAUUAUCAUUUUAAUUUUUUUGUUAAUGUAUAACAAAUAUUAAUA